rnacentral:rRNA from 1 species
UACGGAGGGUGCAAGCGUUAUCCGGAUUUACUGGGCUUAAAGGGUGCGUAGGCGGGUCUGUAAGUCAGUGGUGAAAUCUCCGGGCUUAACUCGGAAACUGCCAUUGAUACUAUAGGUCUUGAAUUAUCUGGAGGUGAGCGGAAUAUGUCAUGUAGCGGUGAAAUGCUUAGAUAUGACAUAGAACACCAAUUGCGAAGGCAGCUCACUACGGAUAUAUUGACACUGAGGCACGAAAGCGUGGGGAUCAAACAGG